GCCAGACCUACCUCACUGGCUCCAGAGAAACAAAGAGGUCGCUUGCAAUCACCGUUGCAUCCAGCUAUUUGGACUUGUUUCUGCAACAUUUCCUGAACUCAAAAGAAACGGUCUGCGAUGGGUUCACCUAUGCUGUCUUCUCUUCACCCGAGUGCAACCUAGACAUCUGCAUGAAAACCUUCUUUCUCAAACUGAAUGAAUACCAGAUUCAUUACAGCAAGGAACUGCCUUUGGCCAAGGUGAAGGCGCUCAGAGGGAUCAGGGCCAUUGUAACGGAGCACAGCACCAUCCAGGGCCUGAAGUACUGGCUGGAGGCCCACUUUAUGACCCUGUCCAAUGUCUUGAUCAGACAGUUCCAACUCAAGGAGCACGGGACC